AAUCAACGCUGGCGGCGUGCCUCAGACAUGCAAGUCGAACGCGAAAGUUUCCUUCGGGAAGCGAGUAGAGUGGCGCACGGGUGAGUAACACGUAAGUAAUCUACCCUUGGGUGGGGAAUAACAUCGGGAAACCGAUGCUAAUACCGCAUAAUGCAGCGGCUUCAUAUGAAGACAGUUGUUAAAGCAUUUAUGUGCCUGAGGAGGAGCUUGCGGCAGAUAGCUAGUUGGUAAGGUAAUGGCUUACCAAGGCAACGAUCUGUAGCCGACCUGAGAGGGUGGUCGGUCACACUGACACUGAAUAACGGGUCAGACUCCUACGGGAGGCAGCAGUCGGGAAUUUUGGGCAAUGGGCGCAAGCCUGACCCAGCAACGCCGCGUGAAGG
rnacentral:rRNA from 1 species